UACGUAGGGUGCAAGCGUUAAUCGGAAUUACUGGGCGUAAGCGUGCGCAGGCGGUUUUGUAAGUCUGUCGUGAAAUCCCCGGGCUCAACCUGGGAAUUGCGAUGGAGACUGCAAGGCUAGAAUCUGGCAGAGGGGGGUAGAAUUCCACGUGUAGCAGUGAAAUGCGUAGAGAUGUGGAGGAACACCGAUGGCGAAGGCAGCCCCCUGGGUCAAGAUUGACGC
rnacentral:rRNA from 1 species